GCUUCUCGACCCGCCGCCGACCUGUCGACUCCGCAGGGACACCAACUGAAAACCUCAGAACACUUAUCCACCUGUUCUUCGAUCACCACCAGCACGUCGAGUUCUCCGCCACUUUCUCCCGUCUCUGCCGCGCAGUUCCUCUUCCCCGCUGCGAUUUCCGGACACAAUGGGCAGGCGCAACAGCUGCACCAUUUAUGUGGGCAAUCUCCCUGGGGACAUCCGAGAGAGGGAGGUUGAGGAUCUCUUUUACAAGUAUGGCCGUAUCGUGGAUAUUGACUUGAAGAUUCCUCCAAGACCUCCUGGUUACGCUUUUGUUGAGUUUGAGGAUCCCCGUGACGCUGAUGAUGCAAUAUAUGGCCGUGAUGGGUAUACCUUUGAUGGCUACAGGUUGCGGGUGGAAUUAGCUCAUGGUGGAAGAGGUCAAUCGUACUCACACGAUCCCCCAAGAAGCUUUAGCGGUGGACGCCGUGGAGGUGUUUCUAGGCGCUCGGAGUACCGCGUUAUGGUGGAUGGUUUACCUUCGUCAGCGUCAUGGCAAGAUCUGAAGGACCACAUGCGACGGGCUGGUGAUGUCUGUUUUUCUGAUGUAUACCGGGAGGCUGGAGAAAUUGUUGGAAUUGUGGAUUAUACAAACUAUGAUGACAUGAAAUACGCGAUUAGGAAGCUUGAUGAUACAGAAUUCAGAAAUGCAUUUUCACGGGCAUAUAUCAGGGUGAGGGAGUAUAAUGCUAGAUCAAGAAGCAGAAGCGUUAGCGUCUCUUACUCAAGAAGUCGCAGCUAUAGCAGAUCUGGCCAUGCUGCGAUCUGGGGACUUCUUUCGUAGAUAAUUGGAUGUGUUGAGAUUUGGAACUAUGGAUAGUAGAGAUGGAUUAUCACCAAAUAUAUGGCGAGUGGCAACAAGUCCUAGGAGCAAGAUAGUCUUGACAGUAAGGAUAUGUGGAGUGGGUCUUGUGGCAUUAUUUAAAUGGUGUAUAUUGUAGGCUUAAUUUGCAAUAAUCAUCAAUGAGGCCCUCAUUUUUAUGGAACUUUAAGCUUUCUGCUAAUUUAUCUUGACAUUCUUCUAAAAGUAUAAUUUAAAACUAGCCAAGCCUAUCCCAACUUGCUUGGGACAAAAGGCUUUGCUGUUGUUGUUUUUAAAAUAGAGAAGAAUGAAUCACAAGUACCGCUUAAUCAUUUUCUGGGCAAGUGUACAUGCCAAGAGAUUGUCAUUAACAAAUGAGGAUGCACGUCUUGGUUAGGUUGUAUGUUCAGUUUCAGUUUUAUUAGUCAGACCUGAUAGGCAAAUGCGUAAAUUGCACUGUGGUUUCUUUGUCAGGAUAUCUGAAGUUCUUGACAUACUGUUGCAUUCAUAGCUGAUAGGUUUUGGUGUUAGGAUGACUCAACACUCCCUUGUAAUGAACUUUGUUUGUGUAACUUUUUGCAGAUCGCUGUCAAGAUCCCGAUCCCCAGUUUCUUCUGCCUCUCCUGGAAAAUCUGUGAGCAGAAGCCCUAGCAGGAGCAGGAACUUCUCUGGCUCAGCAUCUCCUGUGAGAUCAGAUUGAUCGUUG